CCAGCACCUACCGGAAGUCGCCACGGUGGUGCUGGAUAAAUGCCACACAACAGCAGACGCCGAAGAUGCUAAAGCGGAAAAUUUCUACCACAAGUACGACUUCCGGUAUAUGCAGAGCCCUCUGGCGUCUC